UCAAAACAGCGGACUUCGGUCUUUGCUGCACCCUUGUCUUUUGCGCACCGAAUUGUUUCCUCGGCGGGCUUGCCUGCCGGUUGGACAUUACAAAACCUUUGUGUAGUUGCAAUCAGCGUCAGAAAAAUCAUAAUUAUUA
rnacentral:misc_RNA from 1 species